AAAGAAAAUUCUAUCUAUGUCGAUAAGUGAAAUAGAAAUUACAAAAUCCCAUAUUGUCACUCCAAUAAUCUGGUCAGACAACCAAGCAUUCCCUACAUUGGCUCAGGCUUCAAUAAGUCACCUUAGCCAAAGAACCCCCUUCCCUUGGAAGAGAGAGUUGGCUUAAAUCCAUUGAUACUCAGAGCCAAGAAGUUCUUAAAGACCAAACCUAACCCCUAAUGCUGCAGCAAACCAAAUUGGAUUUUUUUUUUCUUUUAGUCACUGAGAUCUCACCACUCCAGGUCAAUGUCUUCAAACAGAAAGAGACAGAGAAAAAGACACCUCAACAUCAAAGCUUUCUUCAGUGUGUUGGGGGCCAGGCCUGAACUUGGGUUGUGCCUAUGACCAAGCAAACAUACUAUACAAAGAACUACACCAAAACUGCCAUUUGCUGGAACCCCACACCUGGCAGAUGGGCAACAGUUCAAGGCCGUGUGACCAGGCUGGAGAACAGCCCUGUGGUGAGAAAAUAUAAUUAACGCUUCUGAGGCUUCUGCUCUGCACAGCUGCACAGCAUUCCAGCGACAGACCAGCUACACAUCAAAUAUCUCCUGUAAGAGCUGAGAAGCAGCUCUCAAGUAUGAUCUGCUCAAGAUAUGUGCUGCAAGCAUGUUUCUUUUAACAGGUCAUGCUGGCCCUGACCUUUCAAUUCAACUGCCCCAGCAUUAUCUCCAUGAAGGGGGCUACUAGCAUCUCAAAAUGGCUGAAGACUCUUCCCAAACCAAGACUGAAACUUUUUUCACCACAGCUCCUCAUCCACUUAGAUGGAGACAGAGAAAGAAAAAGAGAAACAGGAGGAAAGACACCACAGCACCAGAGUUAACCUCCAGUCUGGUAGACGCUAAACCCAAACCUGGGUUGCACAUAUGCCAAAGCCUGUUAUACCAUCCAGGUGAGAUAACCUGACGACCCUAAUUAAUUUUCUGUGUCUGACACAGUGACUGCCAGUGAUGGAGGGAGUGGUGCCAUGAGCUAGGCUUUAGCCCCAUGCUAUCAUUUCAUCUAAGUGAUUCAUUUUAUAAUUUACAUCUGAGGCCAAAAGGGCCAUGGCUUUCCAAUUUCACACCUAGUCAAUAAAAGAUAUUUUUCACA